CAAGCCCUAGCACACUCACUUUCGGGCAUCAUUACUUGACGCAUUGCAGGUGCAACGCAACCAAUCAGGAGGCUCGGCUCUUCCCGACAAACCAUUGCAGGGUCCCUUCGGCCAAUCGGAGAGCCCUUGACAAAAUGCUCCCCGCAGACGCAUCAGCAGCUUUCAGUUACGUUAUGCGCUGUAGCAGAGCGCGAGAGGUUGGUAACCCUCCGCCGGAGGAUAUAAUCCCUGCCUUCAAUUAAUUCACGUGCGAGCGGAUCGCUUUUGCUCGGUACUAGGCACGUCGUCAGUGUUGAUUGAUAAAAACAGAAAUGAGUAAGAAUGAACCGAGUAGAACUAACUAAUUACUCUUGCUCUGCAACUUGUUUUUAGGACUUUAAAUUCUGAAACAUUAUUUGUUUGUCAUUAUGUAUUAGGUUAUUUUAAAUUACAAACUGUUUAAAAUGUCUUGCUAACAGCUACAAUGGUUCAGCUUUUAUAAAUUGGUUACAGCACAGAAAUUUGAAAGUACAAAGUAAACUAGUUUGCUGGCUCACUAAAGUUUCUGAUGUGUUCUUGAGAAAGGAGAUGAUACAAAACCAUCCUCAAAACGUAAUUUGACAAUCUGUUUUUGGUUGUUUAUUAUAUGGUAUCCAUAUGCUAUAAUUUUGUAUGGUUCAUAGUUACAAAAGUUAAAAACUAAAAUUUUCAAUAGUUGGAGUGAA